UGCACUAUCCUCCCAGGGGACCUGCCCUUAUUCGAUGAUCCACGAAUCUCUUACCUUUCCUUGUUUAAGCAUGCCCUGAUUGGGGCAUGUUUCUAUCAGUUUGCAUACCGCCGUUUUCAGCUUGUAUCGCGAGAUAAAAGAAACAGGCUAAUCAGCACUGUGAGCAUGGCCUGCUGGUGACAGGCAGGUGAUGGCACUGCUAGGAAUUCAGGUAAACGUGUAGCCAAUGGAAAGGGGGCGCUGGGUUACAAUUGAGGUUUGAAGUGGAUGGCAGCCCGAAGGGGCUGUUUGAAAGCGUACUUGGAAGUAAUGGCUUUGGGCAAUGAAGCGUGAAUGGGGCUCUGGUGUGUGUACAAAUCGCCCG
rnacentral:rRNA from 1 species